rnacentral:rRNA from 1 species
UGAAUACGAGAUGCUACGGCGUCGAAGCAGUGUAUGUCAGACUUCCAAGAAAAGCUCGCAAUGUCAUAAAUAAAGAAUGCCUGUACCAUAACCGACACAGGUGGGUAGGUAGAGUAUACUAAGGGGCGCGAGAUAACUCUCUCUAAGGAACUCGGCAAAAUAACUCCGUAACUUCGGGAGAAGGAGUGCCUUCUUUAAGAAGGUUGCAAUAACAAGAUCCAAGCAACUGUUUAUCAAAAACACAGGUCUCCGCUAAGUCGUAAGACGAUGUAUGGGGGCUGACGCCUGCCCAGUGCCAGAAGGUUAAAGAAGUUGGUUAGCUUUUGCGAAGCUGAUGACUGAAGCCCUGGUGAACGGCGGCCGUAACGAUAACGGUCCUAAGGUAGCGAAAUUCCUUGUCGGGUAAGUUCCGACCCGCACGAAAGGCGUAAUGAUUUGGAUACUGUCUCGGAGAGGGACUCGGUGAAAUAGACUUGUCUGUGAAGAUGCGGACUACCUGCACCAGGACAGAAAGACCCUAUGAAGCUUUACUGUAACUUGAAAUCGAAAUUGGACUUUAUUUGCGCAGUAUAGGUGGAAGGCGUUGAAAGUAAUCUUGCGGGAUUAGUGGAGCCAUCAGUGAGAUACCACUCCUAUAAUGUUAGAUUUCUAACUUUGGAUCAUGAUCUGGUCAAAGAACAGUUUCAGGCGGGCAGUUUGACUGGGGCGGUCGCCUCCCAAAUGGUAACGGAGGCGUACAAAGGUUUCCUCUGAACGGGUAGAAAUCGUAUCUAGAGUGUAAAGGCAUAAGGAAGCUUGACUGUGAGACCUACAAGUCGAGCAGGGACGAAAGUCGGUCUUAGUGAUCUGACGGUGCUGAGUGGAAAGGCCGUCACUCAACGGAUAAAAGUUACUCUAGGAUAACAGGCUGAUCUCCCCCAAGAGUUCACAUCGACGGGGAGGUUUGGCACCUCGAUGUCGGCUCAUCGCAUCCUGGGGCGGUAGUACGUCCCAAGGGUUGGGCUGUUCGCCCAUGAAAGCGGUACGCGAGCUGGGUUCAGAACGUCGUGAGACAGUUCGGUCCAUAUCCGGUGUAGGCGUUAGAAUAUUGAGAGGAGCCUUCUUUAGUACGAGAGGACCGAGAAGGACAUACCUCAGGUGUACCAGUUAUCGUGCCAACGGUAAACGCUGGGUAGCUAUGUAUGGAGAGGAUAACCGCUGAAAGCAUCUAAGUGGGAAGCCCACCUCAAGAUGAUUGCUCUCACAGGGUUGACCUGGUAAGGUCACGGGAAGACCACCCGUUGAUAGGCACUCGGUG